rnacentral:sRNA from 1 species
GCUUGAGGGUGCUCACUUGGAAUUUCUGUGACCAGGAAGGCUGAGGCUGGUGGACCUCUUCAGGGCUGGAGUGCUGAACUGCAGUGGCCUACACUGAUCAGGUGUCUUCACUAAGUUCAAGGUAAAUAUGGUGAGGCCCCUAGGAAGGGGGGUGGGGCACCAGGUUGCCCAAGAAAGGGCAAAUCAGCCCAGGCCAAAAACAGGACAGGUCAAAGCUCUCAUGCUGAUCAGUAGGGGGAUCAGACUUAUGGGUAACCCCUGCACUUCCAUCCUCGGUGAAAUGGGAAGGCCUGGUCUUU